rnacentral:rRNA from 1 species
AAUUGGAGGCCAGUGAAUGGCAAGACUAGGGAUAUCUGUACCCUGUAUAGAAAAACAACUUUUCAUCUGGGUGAAAAGACCCAAAUGAUAAAGGAAGACGAAAAGACCCCGCGGAACUUUACCUUUUCCAGUCUCCACAUGCUCAGGAACAUUGGAACAAAAGGUUUGAUUGGGGCAAUCUCGGAACCACCAAAACUUCCGACUUAUAAGAAAAAAAUAUAAAACUUGAUAAGGACCAAAAAGAAGUUACCCCGGGGAUAACAGCGUAAUCCAACUUGAGAGUACACAUCGAAAGCUGGGUUUGCGACCUCGAUGUUGGCUUAAGGAUAUCCACAUAAGUGCAACCGCUAUGGUAGGACAGUCUGUUCGACUAUUAUACCCUUACACGAGCUG